AUUGAACGCUGGCGGCAGGCCUAACACAUGCAAGUCGAGCGAGUGGCGGACGGGUGAGUAAUGUCUGGGGAUCUGCCCGAUAGAGGGGGCUAACUACUGGAAACGGUGGCUAAUACCGCAUACUAUCGGAUGAACCCAGAUGGGAUUAGCUAGUAGGUGGGGUAAAGUCUCACCUAGGCGACGAUCUCUAGCUGGUCUGAGAGGAUGAUAAGCAACACUGGGACUGAGACACGGCCCAGACUCCUACGGGAGGCAGCAGUGGGGAAUAUUGCAAAAGGGGCGCAAGCCUGAUGCAGCCAUGCCGCGUGUAUGAAGAAGGCCUUCGGGUUGUAAAGUACUUUCAGCGGGGAGGCGUUACCCGCAGAAGAAGCACCGGCUAACUCCGUGCCAGCAGCCGCGGUAAUUC
rnacentral:rRNA from 1 species